AUGCUCCUGCUCAAAGCUUUCGAUGAAGGUAGUCAAAUUUCAUCAUCUUCCUUGCUACAGUAGCAUCAGCAUCGGUUCCGCAAGAUGCUCAGCGUCAAUGCAUCUUCCAUGUCAUCGAGUGGCGGCGGAGCCCACGCGGAGCCAUUGGAGCUGGAGGAGUGCUCGAAGGAGCUCCUGGAGGUGUCGCGGAACAACACGGACAUGGCCGGUGGCAUGCCGACGUAGAGCGUGGAGGUCACCAACACCUGGAUCGACUGCGUUGUGUGCGAUGUCCACGUCGCAUGCGGCGACUUUGCCUCAAAUGAUGUCAUCGACCCAGACAAGUUUCACCGCCUCAUCUUUUACGACUGCCUCGUCAAUGGUGGCGGAUCCACUAAGCCCAGCUUUCCUGUGUCAUUCCAGUAUGGCAACUCCUUUCCCUACCCGACGACAGUCGCGCCCGCCUCAUGUGACUGA
rnacentral:rRNA from 1 species